AAUAUAAACUCUAUUUAGAUUAGAGUUUGGUUUCGUUUAAUUAUUUACGUGGAAAAUUGUCAAAUGUUUUAAUUGUGAACAUCGAUAUUAUUAUUUUAAAAGUGAUCUUUAAUAAUUAGUGUGUUUAUCAAUCAUUAUAAAUCAUUUAAUGUGGUCCGAUCAUCAGUUUUGGUAUCUAAGUUAGUGUCUGGCUAUGCAUUUCAACCCUAUUAUAAAGAAUGGUAUUUCUGGUAUAACCUGACAAUCCCAAUCAAUCUUUACCUUUUCGUGAUUAACUGAUAGGUAAAUAUGAAAACAAUUUAACUGAGAAGGAAACAAUUUGAGCAUCGAAAGUUUGUUUAACCAUUAUAAAUCGUGAUUUAAAAUUUAAUUGGGUAAGACAAUCUCAGGUUUAGCUAUUACAUGAUGAAAAGAGGUUUGAAAAGUAGAAGAGCGCCGGAAAGAGGAGUUUAAUUCUUAUAGAAAUGUAUGUUGAUGUUGAUGAUAUUGCUUUCUUAUUCUCUCAUCCGUUCAUCAUCAUCAUCUCAUCAUUCUUUUACUUCUACAUCUUCUUGGCCUUCUUGUUCAUAUCAAUUUCCUUUUCCAUUCAUUUGGUGGGAAAAUAUUAUUAUGUUUAAAUGGUGUUGUCUAAAGAAAUAUAUGCAAACACAAAUUAACCUCAGUAAACCUUACCUAACAAGUGAUUUCAAGUGUUCAUUGGACACUCGACCCUCGCCCCUAACCUCUCGCUAAAAAAACAACGCUAAUGAUAUUAACCAAGGAUAACCCAAGUAAAAGUAAAUAAAGAUAUUCAAUUUGUUUGGUGGCGAAGGCAAAUGAAGUUCAUUUUCAACUAUUGGCCAUUGGGAUUAGUGAAUAUUUACAGCUGGUUAUUCAAUGCUAAUGGAUUUGGUUAAACAAAGGAAAGUUGGGAAUCAAUAUUAACAGUUGACUUUGUUUACUUGGAUCAAACACCCCGAACUGGAGGCUGACACAACGGAAAUACUUGAAAUUCCCCAAUGAUGGGAUUAAGAAGUUGGCCAUUUCCGUUGAACCCGAUUCUAACAGAAGUCAUUAUAAAGCAUUUCAUGAUUGUGGCAAAGCUUCUGAUACUUGUUUGAGGCGAUAAAAAUCAAUAGAAACCAGAAUGGUUAUGUGAAAAGAGGAACGGACGAGAAAAGUAAAUGAUGCAUUUCAAUGUAAACGAGAAACCAAAAUUAUCGAACAAAGACUCUUUUUGAGGCCGAUUUCCGUCCACAUCUUGAGCUUCUCCUUCAUCUAAAUCAUUAUAACCAUCUUUCUUCUUCUUCUUUAUCAUCAUAUUACCCUCAAAGCUUUUGGCAAGGUCAGUGAUAAAUUUAUGCAAAGGAAAAAAAACUCGUUUGCUCCUGUUGACUCGUUUUUUGGUGUUGUCAGUCUAAAGCUAUUGAUUUUUGACUGAUUGAAGGUUGAUUAUCUGAAUUAAUUGAUUAAAUGGUUGACGACUGAUUGGAGUUUUAUAAAGAAAUAAAAGUGACUGGUAAAAAGAGUUGUUAUUAACAUAUUUUCAAAUCUAAACAUGGGUUGAAUUGGAAGGUUGCAUUUUCGGUUAGAUUUAUUGGAGGAAAAAAAAGGAUAAACCAAGAGAAAGAUGUUAAAAAUAAGGAAUUGAGGACUUUAAGGCCACAUGGAGUGAACAGACAAUCUAGCAAUCAUCUUCAAAUCAUCUUCUCAUCAUCGUUUAUUCAUGGUCAAUGGAUUGGUCUUCACUUUAUCGGCAUCUCUGGUGAUUUCCAGUCACUUUCCCUUACCACAAGCAAAGAAAAGGUUGAACAAGAUCAAUCUCAAUUUGACAAACAAUUUGGCAAACAAUUUGACAAUAUUUUCAUUGCUAAUGAUGUUGAUUCAAAGCUGAUUUAACCAUUGCUUAAAUAUGUUGCAAACAAAGGCAAUAAUUUGAUGGUUGAAUGGAGUAAUCAAAGCUUACAAAGCUGUAAAGGUGAAACAAGUAAAAAUGGCGUCAAUUGAAUGGAUUGUAUUAUAAUAAACAGCAAUGAGGGACCAAUGAAAGCUCAUAUAUCACUUGGAAUCAGCAUGGAUCCGAAUCAAGGAUUAAACAUGGGAAAAUGUUUAUUAAAAUUGAAAAGAUAAUCAAAUGAUGUAAUCAGUCAAUCAAAUUGCGAGUUUUUAACCAAAAAAAAGCAGACCGAUUACCAUAUGUUAAUGGGGACAAUCAACUUUUCCUGACUAACCAAUGUUGAUGUUAUUGAAGCAUUUUUUAUCCACUUUCCGGCUCAUAACAACAUCUUAACCUGACUGUUAAUUGUUAUACCUUAUAUUCAUCUAAUUUGGUUCAUUUUACUGCUUCUAACAACUGGUAUAAUUGGUGCAAUCAAAAAGUUAAAGUGAUUAAUUGAAUUUACUGAAAUGAAAAUCAACAUUACGCUUGAUGAGUUGUUUCUUUUUGUUGUUUUUUUUUGUAGUAAAUAUUUUUACCUAGCUUAAGGUACAAUUAAGCCUGAUUUGUAUACUUAAAUGAUGAUGAUUUGUUUUGAUUAAAUUUUUUCUUUCUG